rnacentral:lncRNA from 1 species
GGUAAACAUAGUGAUUAGUUAUGACAAUAUAUUGUUUUCAUAGGAAAUAUAUUACUGCUAACGAAAUUCCAGAGACAGUUUCAAAGAUAAUUCAUUUUCUAAGACAAAGAAGUAGAAUAGAGUUGAAAAAGUAUAUUAACCUGACAUUUCCUGAUAGCGUUUCUAAAUAUAACAAGGGGAUAGAAGGAGUUGAUCCCUUGGAUGAAAUAUCAGCUUUCUAUGGAGGGAGAAUUAGAUUAUUAUCAUUAGAAUUAUCAUUUUGAAACAUGCCCGACACCUAUGUACAUAAACAUGAAGAAAUAUGCAUUUGGAGUUUUGUCAAUCUUCUGAUCCACAUACGUAUUUGAGCAGCUAUUCUCCACCAGGAAGUUUGAUAAAAACAAACACCACUCACGCCUCACAGAUGACAGCUUACAGCUAGCACUUCCUACAAUGCUGAUUGUAGACACUUUACACAGAGAUUCAGGAGCAGAAGUCAUAUUAACCACGUCAAGGCUACAGUGCACAUCUCAAAAUGCCAAAAGAAUGAUAGCUAACAACAUUUUUUAUUUGCCACAUGUAUGAGGGUGGUCGGAGAAGGGUUUUCCCGCUAAAAUAAUUCUUCUCGAAACACUUUUUUUUUUGGCUCAGUACAUUCGAAUUGGAUUAACUUAGACGUGUCGAAUUUUAACACAGGAAGCCUUUAUAUCUGAGCUAUCGCUUGAAUCUACUUGAAGCUUACACUUACAAAAUAAAUAUUUGGUCACAGCUGGAACAUCGAUUUUAUAUAUUUUCACAAAAACACUAACAUCAGCUCACUCAAACGACUGUUAUAUAACAACUACGCCUCAAAAAGGGUCAAAAGUUUAGUGAGUAACCGUCAACAGAUUAUAACUAGAUGUGACUAGCUUUUAUUGAGGAUUGCUACCAUCUUCACGUUGAGGUCGGAAACUAUUCAAACUACCCUCAUAUAAUUUGAAUUUAAGUGCAACUUUUUAAUUCCUUUGGAAGAAAUUUUUAACUUGUCGUCCAUGAUUGUGUGUUUAAGAGUUUUAAGAGUCAAUCGUACAGUUAAAAUAAAAAGAA